UGGUGGAGUGAUUUGUCUGGUUAAUUCCGUUAACGAACGAGACCCCUGCCUGCUAAAUAGCCCGUAUAGUGCCUGUCACUGUAUUGGUGCUUCUUAGAGGGACGUGCAUUCUAUUAGAUGCAGGAAGAUAGGGGCAAUAACA
rnacentral:rRNA from 1 species